rnacentral:lncRNA from 1 species
AUAAAGCAAGUCCUUAGAGACCUACAAAGAGACUUAGACUCCCACACAAUAACAAUGGGAGACUUUAACACCCCACUGUCAAUAUUAGACAGAUCAGCAAGACAGAAGGUUAACAAGGAUAUUCAGGACUUGAACUCAGCUCUGCAACAAGCAGGCCUAAUAGACAUCUACAGAACUUUCCACAGUUCUGAAGUCAACAGAAUAUACAUUCUUCUCAGCACCACAUCGCACUUAUUCUAAAAUUGACCACAUAAUUGGAAGUAAAACACUCCUCAGCAAAAGUAAAAGAACAGAAAUCACAACAAACUGUCUCUCAGACCACAGUGCAAUCAAAUUAGAACUCAGGAUUAAGAAACUCACUUAAAACCGCACAACUACAUGGAAACUGAACAACCUGCUCCUGAAUGACUACUGGGUAAAUAACAAAAUGAAGGCAGAAAUAAAGAUGUUCUUUGAAACCAAUGAGAACAAAGACACAACAUACCAGAAUCGCUGGGACACAUUUAAAGCAGUGUGUGGAGGGAAAUUUAUACCACUAAGUGCCCACAGGAGAAAGCAGGAAAGAUCUAAAAUUGACACCCUAAUAUCACAAUUAAAAGAACUAGAGAAGCAAGAGCAAACACAUUCAAAAGCUAGCAGAAGGCAAGAAAUAACUAAGAUUGGAGCAGAACUGAAGGAGAUAGAGACACAAAAAACCAUUCAAAAAAUCAAUCCAGGAGCUAGUUUUUUGAAAAAAUCAGCAAAAUAGAUAGACGCGGGGUAGGAUAGUGCUAUCCAUAUGCCAGGAAAAAGGAGAACUUGAAUAUUACUGACUACCAAAUCUGGUAGUGUUUAAUGAUUCUUUUAUAUACUUUUUCUAGUUCUUUGUUUCCCCUCCCUCCCUCCCUUCCUCCCUUCCUUCUUUCCUUCCUUCCUUCCUUCUUGGUCUUGCUCUGUCACCCAGGCUGGAGUGCAGUGGUGCGAUCAUGGCUCACUGCAGCCUCGACCUCCUGGGUUUAACUGAUUAUCCCGCUUCAGACCCCCUAGGGAAGCUGGGACUACAGGCGUGCGCCACCAUGCCUGGCUAAUCUAGUCCUUUCAUGCAUUGUGUAACCUGUUUUAAUGAAAUAUGGCUCAAUUGUGCAGAUGAUUGUUUUUAUUUUUGUUUUUGUGCACUAUACAAAUUGAAACUCACUGGGCAUUGUUAAUCCCAGAGGAAUCUAAUGUAUUUAGCCUCUGUCAUAGAGUUUCAGAAAUAAGUUUUGGACCUUGUUAUUGUUAAAAUAAUAGGCUCCCUGAGUUAUUAUUCUUCAAUAAUGUGUCAUAUUCCCCCAGACCAUGUGACAUAGUUCCUAGGCUAGGGUGAUUUUAAAAAACUGUUUCUUGGUCUAUAAUUGAAAUUCCACAACAGACACUGAAGAAGCCAUGUUUCAGUACUUCCUUAACCUUUUUUUCUUUCUUUCAUCCUAAACUUAUAUAAUACACUAUAAUUUAUAAUAUAAUGCAAUGUUUAAGACAAUAUUAUGUUUAAUAAUGAAAUGGUAGACAGCUUUAUUAAACUAGUUGGCCUUAUCAGAUAAAAUAUCACUACUCUAGUGAAAUUCCAGUUCUUAAUUUUUAUUCUUUGCUGGAGUAUUGGUAUACGAAUUGUCUUACAAUUUUUUGGAUAGAAAGUAUAACAAGUAGCUAAUCACUGCAUUAUUGUAACAAAUAUCAAAGGAAUGUAUACUUAUAAAUUUGUUUAAAUAAUAGCUUUAUUAGGAGAAACUCAUAUACCAUAUAAUUCACCCACUUAAAAUGUAAAAUUUAAUGGUUUUUAGUAUAUUCGGAGUUGCGCAGUUAUCACUAAGACUCAUUUUGGAACAUUUUCAUUAUCUCAGAAAGGGAUUACAUACUCAUUAGCACUUACUCCCUAUUUCUCCAAUCCCACUCCACUCGCAGCCCUAGGCAACCACGAAUCUACUUUCUCUCUACUAAUUUGCCUAUUCUGGAUAUUUCCUAUACAUGAAAUCAGACAAUAUGUGAUCUUUUGCGACUGGCUUCUUUCAUUUAGCAUAAAGUUUUUUGUUUGUUUGUUUUUGAGACAGAGUCUCGCUCUGUCACCCAGGCUGGAAUGCAGUGGCAUUAUCUUGGCUAACUGCAACCUGCACCCCUAUGGUUCAAGCCAUUCAUGUACCUCAGCCUCCUGAGUAGCUGGGACUAUAGUAGCACACCACCAUUUCUGGCUAAUUUUUGUAGUUUUAGUAGAGAUAGGGUUUCACCAUGUUAGCCAGGCUCGUGUCGAACUCCUGGCCUUGAAUGAUCUGCCUGCCUCGGCCUCCCAAAGUGCUGGGAUUACAGGUAAGAGCCACUGUGCCCAGCCACAUUUAGCAUAAUGUUUUAAAGUUUCAUACCUGUUUUAGCAUGUAUCAGUACUUCAUUCCUUUUUAUUGCCAAAUAAUAUCCCAUUGUGUGGAUAUACCAUAUUUUAUUCAUCCAUUCAUCAGUUGAUACAAAAUUAGAUUGUUUCCAAUUUUUGCCUAUUAUGAAUAAUGUUAUGAACAUUUGUGAACAAAUUUUUGUAUACAUGUACGUUUUUAUUGCACUUCAAUAUAUAGCUAGGAUUAGAAUUGGUGGCCAUAUAACUCUGUGUUUAAUGUUUUAAGAAAUUUCCAGACUGUUUUCCAAAACGGCUGCACCAUUUUAUCUCUACCAGCAGUAUAUGAGGAUUUUAAAUUUUUCCACAUUUUUGCAAGGUCUUGUUAUUAUCUUCUCUCCUAGAUUAUAGUCACUCAGUGUGUGUGAUAUGGUAUGUCCAUGUGCUUUUGAUUUGCCUUUCCCUGAGAGCCAGUGAUGUUG